AAAACGACGAUUUGUGAGACGAGAAAGAUUACAGAGAUUCUCCCGGGAAAGUGACGGGAAAAUGUAAGAAAAUUAGAAAGCAAGAAAUAUUCUGUGAUUUUUCUCUCUGAAAAACACGUUUUAUUUUGCGAUUUUCACCCAAUCGGAUUCUUUGAUUUCGAUGCUCUGUCGAAUUGGACGAUCGCUACCUUUUUUUUUUUUGGUCUUUGCUUUUUUUUUUGGGGGGGCAAUAUAUUGAUUUC